rnacentral:rRNA from 1 species
GAUGAACGCUGGCGGCGUGCCUAAUACAUGCAAGUCGAGCGAACGGACGAGAAGCUUGCUUCUCUGAUGUUAGCGGCGGACGGGUGAGUAACACGUGGAUAACCUACCUAUAAGACUGGGAUAACUUCGGGAAACCGGAGCUAAUACCGGAUAAUAUUUUGAACCGCAUGGUUCAAAAGUGAAAGACGGUCUUGCUGUCACUUAUAGAUGGAUCCGCGCUGCAUUAGCUAGUUGGUAAGGUAACGGCUUACCAAGGCAACGAUGCAUAGCCGACCUGAGAGGGUGAUCGGCCCAACGGGAACGGAGACACGGUCCGGCCCCCUACGGGGGGAAACAGUAGGGAAUCUUCCGAAAUGGGCGAAAGCCUGGCGGAGCAACGCCGGGUGAGUGAUGAAGGUUUUGGGAUCGUAAAACUCUUUUAUUGGGGAAAAAAAUAUGUGUAAGUAACUGUGCACAUCUUGACGGUACCUAAUCAAAAAGCCACGGCUAACUACGU